UAGAGGUGGCAUGAAUAAAGCAAAGGUGGCAUUAGAACGUCAACAAGGAGACGCUAAGGGGAAGUGAAAGAAAAUAAUAGAUCAACAGACAUAAAGAACUUUUAUUGAGCACUAGAGGGAAAAAAUUGAAACGGUAAAAAAAAAAAUUGCCAUUCAAUGCAUCAGUUCCUUAAAAAAAAAUCUGAAUCUCUCUCUCUCUCUCUCUCGCUUUUCAUGACAAGACGUGGAUGGCUGAGGAAACAUGCAAUGCUUUUAUCGGGAGGGGUGGAAAGAAGAUAAAAAGAGAAAAGUGUUAGCUUCUUUUGUAGAAAAAGAAACACACAUUUUUGACAGCGGAUGUCUUAGCACAAGCAAGGAAAACAUUGUUUUUGGCUGCUGGAUAUAAAUCUGUAGAGGUAAAAGCCCAUUGCAUUGUGAGUAGAGUUGCAGCCUAUCUCUUCUUCUGCUCAUUGAACAAAGAUAAUUGGCAUGGUAAUUAAUUGGUUGGGCAAUGUGUAUCUCUGGAGUGUGUGCAUUUGUAUACCGUGUCUGGGUGUGUGUGUGUGUGUGUGUGUGUGUGUGUGUGUGUGCAAACACAUUCUAUUUGCCUUAAAAUUAGGGGUGCCGCCUUUUCUCCUGGCAGCCCCUCCCCCCAGUUAAUUGAUGUAGCAUUUUCUUGCAUAGACAUGCACUGAUAGGAGAGGGGGACUCCACCUGUUGAAUUUCCCCAGGUUAUUGCAUAAUAAUGCAGCUACUGCAUGCAAAUGUCAAUGACACAAGAGCUCUGCUAGUUAAAUAAAGCUCUUGAAAUAGGAGCAGUGCCCGUUGCCAGAACAAGAGAGAAACUGCAGGAUUUAGAGUCCAGUCCUAACACAUGAAGUCAAUGGGGGGAUUAGGAGCUGGCACACAGCCCGUUUUGUUGGCCUCUGUUGUUGGAGAGGACUGCAGCUGUGUCAUGGCGGAGGCCCCAGCAUUGCCCAGGCAGGUGGUAAGCUCCUCCUGAUGGUUCUCCCACUGGUGGUAGGCAGCAGUAGCAAACUCUGAAAUGGGACAUGGGGUGGAGGCUUAGUAUCUGCUGGAUUCCACUUCAGUCCUGCAAAUCGGGCCUUGCACCCCAAAUCUGAAACAAUAUUUGAAAAACCGAAGCAUUUGUUUCCCCAUCACUUUCCCUACUGCAUAUAGCACAGAUAUUGAUUUCGGAAGUCCGUUUGUCAGGGCAAAGCACCAAACCCAUUUUAACGGCAUAACCUGAAUGUGCUGGUACACGACUGAAUCCCACCACAGACAGCCUGGCAGCGUCCAAGGUAAUAAAAAAUAAUAGAUUCUAAAUAUGCAAACGGCACUACAUUAAUGUUUAAUAGCAUUCCCAUUUGUACAAACUUAUUCUCUCCCUUUUUUUGGUCUUAAUGUUGCCUGGCCCAUUUAGAAAUAUAUGAAAUGGAAUUGCAUUAUUUUCUAACCGGAGAGGAUGCGAUGGAAUAUGGUUCUGCGCACAUAAAGUACAAAGCUACCAGGGUUGGAGAUGCUGAUGAUUUGGAGCUGGGUGGUGUGUCCCCCCCCCCCCCGCUUCUUCGCCCCCCCCCCAAAAAAAAAGAAAAAAAGAAGACAUCUAAUUUGCUGCUCUUCUAGUUAAAAUCAUUGGGAAAAAGUGCUGACAAUGACAGGCCAGAAACAAAGCUGCUUCUCAACUAACAACCUUAAUGAGAAAUUUUCUGUCUGGGUUUUGAUCUCCCCCCAGCGUGAAGGCUGCCCUUUUGCAGACUUGCAUUCCGAUCAUGAGCUCAUGUAUGCUGAUAACAGCGUGCAGCCAGCCUCGACGUUGCUGGGCUUGUCUAUUGUCGGUGAUGGUAUUGAUUGUAGGCACGGUGUCAUCCACGAACCUUGAUAUCUCCUAAAAGCAACGGAGGAAAUCUUAUUUUGUGCAGCACAUCUAGACUUUUGCUCGUGAGUCCCUUUGCAACUGAGAAAGCGUUGCUGAGAUCCUUUGGUAACUGUGGGUUAUAGCUUGUUUGGUGUUUAUUCUGGGGGCUGCAAGACUGGACUGGAGCACAUGGGGGUCCUAAACUCUGCAACCGUGUGCCCACUUACCUGGGUACCAGUCCCAUUGAACUCAAUAGGACUUGCUUCUGAUAAUAUAUGCAUAGACUUGCAGUGGUUAAAUGUGGCCCUCUAUUAAUCAACAUGAAUAGUAUGUAAUAUAUUAUUUUACACAAUACCAUGCUAUACCAAACCAUACCAUAUCAUAUAUCCUAUUUGAUUACAUUAUAUUAAUAUAAGUACUGGUGGGGAGGGGUGGAUAGCAGGAAGGAAGGGACCUCAAAAGUCAUCUAGUCCAACCCCCUGCAAUGCCAGAAUCUCAACUAAAGCAGUGGUGACAGAUGGCUACGCAACCUCUGCUUAAAGACCUGCAAUGCUAGUGUGGUAGUACUAAAUGCGGUUAUGCAUAUAACAGGUCUGUUUUCAGAUGAUGCUGGACUCCAGCUCCUAUCCUUCCUGACCACUGGCCAUGUUAGCCAGGGCUGAUGGGAGUUGGAGUCCAGCAACAUCUCAAGGGCCACAGGUAACCCAAGAUAGCAGCUUCAGGGAGACCAGACAGGAUCAGGGCUGCAGCACAUGGAGAGGGGAGGGGUUAAUUCUCAUCACCUUUAUAGAAAUGUCUGAAAAUGUUUCCACUUCAGAGUUUUUAGGAAGCUUCCAGGAAAUGGUGCCAAUGUGAAUUUCCAUCCUGGGGUUUACUAGCAGCAUGUAGGCAAGGGUUUUGUUGGACCACGUGGAGGGGAUGAGGGGAAAUAAGCUGGUGGUGUGAAUAGAUGUUUCAAAGAAAGAUCUCCUUAAGAAUCACUAAAAUCUAUGAUUUCCUACUCAGAGUAGACCUAUUAAUGUUAGUGGACAUGGGAAACUUAAGUUCAUUCAUGUAAGUGGGUCUACUCUGAGUUGUUGUUGUUUAAUUUUUUAUUUCCAAAACCGAAAAAAGAAAAAUUACAAACAUCAAAUUCAACAUCCAUAUUCAUUUCCCACCAUAAUCCUAUUACAUAAUUAACUAAAUUAAAAUAUACCUAAUUACUCUAAACUUCUCUUUGCUGUAUACAAAUACAACACAGUUAGAAAUUUUAUAUUAAAGCUUUUAUAUUAUAAAUAAUAUUUCAAAUUCCCCUAUACCCCCCAUUCCCCUUCACCCAUGUGCGAUCUCUCUCUCUCUCUCUCUCUCUCUCUCUUUUACUUCUUCCGUCUUGUUGUGUUGUUAUAAUUUAAUCAUUGUUCAGUGGGUCUACUCUGAGUACAGCACAGCCCUGUUUCUCAUGCUGCCCUAGUUGCAGGUGGCAAAAUGAAAGGGUCAGUUUGGCCAUCAUUCUCCCCAGUCCAUUUUGACCUCAUGACAACCCUGUGAGGUAGGUUAAGCAGAUGGCCAGAGAGGGGACGAGAGAGGGAGAGAGACUUGCCAAAGUUCACCCAGUAAGCUUGUGGCAGGGGUUGGGAGUGGAGGACUGGAACACCACGCCGCUGGAGUUUUGCCUAUGGCUAUUGAAUGAACCCAGGGUUGGGGCGAAAUUUGAACCAGAGGCUUUCUGCUUCCCACUCGGAGCGGCUGUGCUACACCCCAUCACACUGGCUCUCAGCUUUCCGUUUGCUCUGUGAUCAGUUACAUGCUGCCUGCCAACAAUUGUAAAUGAUCACCAACCAGACGAAUCUGACAGACUCUUCCCCAGAGAUUCAUGAACUGUGCUUUAUAGCAGGCGGAUGCACCACACCAUCAAACUCAAAGAAUGUAAACUGGGUGGCGGGGAGAGAUGAUUACAGCUGGAGCUGUGUGGAGAGGGAAGGGGGGGGCAGAACAGAAAGAAACUGGAAUAGAAUGCAUAUUCAAUUGGCAGCAGCAUGGCCAGAGCCAAGGGUUGAUGUGUCUGGGCACCUGCUGAGGGACAAUACCUCAGCUGAGGCACAGUGGCAAAAGUCCCCUCCAACCUGCUUGUUCACCCACCUCUGCCUCUCUCUCUUACAGACAAGGUUGGUGGUUCUUAUGGAGGGAGCAGACAUCCCUGCUUGCUUGCUCAUUUCAUCUCUGAGCCAGUGUGGUGUAGUGGUUAAGAGCGGUAGACUCGUAAUCUGGUGAACCGGGUUUGCGUCUCCGCUCCUCCACAUGCAGCUGCUGGGUGACCUUGGGCUAGUCACACUUCUUUGACGUCUCUCACCUCACAGAGUGUUUGUUGUGGGGGAGGAAAGGAAAGGAGAAUGUUAGCCACUUUGAGACUCCUUCGGGUAGUGAUAAAGCGGGAUAUCAAAUCCAAACUCUUCUUCUUCCUCUUCUUCUUCUUCCUCCUCUUCUUCUUCUUCUUCUUCUUGUCUGUCAAGCAAGGAGGAGGUAAAGAGGAGCAACAGGUAAUAAGGGUAGUGAAUUGGUAGUGAAGGAGGGUUACCCAUGAAGGGUUUCCUACCCAAGGACUCUGGAACCCAUGUUCAUUUACUUAAUUCUUGCAUUUCCAUCCCACUGUUUCUUCAAGCAACUCAGCCUGUGGUUCUUCCCCUCUCCAUUUUAUCCUCACAGCAAGGUAGAGGCAGAAACAGUGACUGGUGUAAGGGUAUCUGGUGAGUUUCAUGACUGAGUAGGGAUUUCAACCCUGAUCUCCCAGGCCCUUGUCCAAUAUCCUAGCCCCUUCCAAUGAUGUUGGAGGAUUUUCCCUCACAGAUAUCUGCAAAACUAUCCCACAAACUCCAUGUGCACCUGGAAGAGACCUUAAAUUAGUUUAAUGCAGUAGUGGAGAAUUGGAUCUGGCUGGCGGACCAGAUCCUUAUAUCCCCAGGCUCCAUGAGCCAGUUUUGACAAGUCCGUGUAACCACCUACCUGUCAUUCUGCUGAUGUCAUGAUGAUAGCAGGUGAUUGGCACCUGUCAAUGUUCAAAGGAGUUUGCUGUAAGUAUCCAUCAGCUGAUGGAUCCAUUUGAAGAUGUGCUUUCAGUGCUUAUCAGCUGAUUUUUGCUGGGAGUGCAUCUUCAAAAAGACCCCCUGUAAUAAUAAUAAUAAUAAUAAUAAUAAUAAUUUUUAUUUUUAUUUAUAUCCCGCCCUCCCCAGCUGAAGCCGGGCUCAGGGUGGCUAACAACAAUAAAACAAUACAAAAGUACAGCACAAACAACACUCUAAAAUCAUUCAUUAUAAAAUUAAUCAGCUGAUCACUGGUUAUAGGAGGCCUCUUUGAAGUAUCUAUAGAGAGAGAGGUGCUCUGAAAAAAGGGGGGGUCUUUUUCCAUAAAUAAUGGUUUGCAUUCAAAUAAUUUCCUCCAGUUCUUUGUUGGGGGUUUCAGCUGGGCAAGGCUCUCUUCAAGCACUGACAAUCAGCUGAUCGUUGGUGCUUUCAGAAAGUCCUUUGCUGCAUGUUGAAGCCACAACAAUAAUCUGAUAAAGGAAUUUCAAAUGCAUUGCAAUGGACUUUGCAGGUGCCACCAAUCAGCUGAUCAGUGGUGCCUGAAGCCCCUUUUUGGCAAACCUGUGACUUUAUCUGCCACAUAUCUGACAUCAUCUAGUAAAGAGACCAACUAUUAAAGGCACAAGAGCCCUGACCUCUUUUGUAUCUUGCUACUCUGUUGGGCGUUGCAUAAAAUGAAGCUGAGAGCCACAGGUUGCCUAUCCCCAUAUAUGAGAGAGAGAGAUCAUUGCACAUGACCCAAAAAAGGCAGGUAUUAAUAGUUGAGGUGAAAGAAAGAGAGAGAGAGAAGGUGCAGUUAGGCAAGUCUUUUUACUGGAAAUUGACUUCCUAAAAAGCUAUCUCCUUACUUGCUUACUUGUUUCCCAUUUUGUAGGACCUAACACAAUAAUAACAACAAAUCUGUACCAGAACAAGAAAGAGCGGAAAACAGAUGUCGGAGGAGAGAGCCAACAAAUGCAAUGAAAGCCACUGCGCUAUGCUGAGCAUUGCAAAGUCCAUGGGUUUGCACACGCAAAACAGGAAGUGACAGAGGAAGAACAUUGUUUGGCAGCUUUUCUCAAAUCAGAUGAAAAAUGGGGAAAGACUAUGGGAUUCAGGAGGGGUGGGCAAGGACGACAGGAAACAAACCUAGUUUGCUGCUUAACCGGCAACAAUUUACACCAUUUAAAAACUUCCGCAAAGAUCGCAGCUUAUCAUGAAAUGUAUUGUAUGCCUUGCUGGGUGAGACCAAUGGGCCUUUCCCCCAGUAUCCUGUCUCUGUCCAGAACCAGGUGUUCCAGAUGAAAUGUACAACAUUACAUACUAUUGACAACUUCCUAUACAUUUCCAUCUCUCUACGGUCAUAGGCUUAUGUAAUUCUUAAGUAUGAAGGGGCUGGCAGAUUUAUUCUAAAAUGCACUUAAUCAGUUUUCAUUGACUGACCUCCAUUCUUCCCCACCCCCACCCCUUUUAGAGUAUUAUAAUAAAAAAUAGUUUCUAUUCAUUUAUUAUUAUCAUAACUGUAUGCAUAAUUGUAUCACAAAAUGAAUAAGGAACAAACAACAAAACCUGACCCCUUAAUAAUCUUUUAAACAUAAUGUUACUAAUCAAGAACUUAUCCAAAUAGAAUGCUUUAAUUUUUCCUACCUGCUAUAAUCAGGGGAAGAAGGGGGGGGGGAAUCAAUUCAACAUUCUCUAAAUACAAAAAUAUAUAAUCUCUAGUCCAAAAUGGUUAUUCCAACCCAAAAUAAAGCAAUGUCUUUAAAAAGAAAAAAUAAUUUGUCCAUAUCUUAUCUAAACCGUUACCUAAAUCACUUAGUUUAUUCAUACAUGGAACUUCUAAUCCUUUCUGUAGC